GGUAGCUAGCAGCCCGGGAGGAGGCGCCCUAAGGACCCCAGUCGCUGUUGCUGACUGCUUUCGAUUUGAACUUGGCCCGGUCGCUGCUCAGAGAGAGUGCCCCCACUCCACCCCGCCCCCGCUCCGCCCCUCUGCUUCCUCCCAGGCUCUGGGCCCUGCAGCUCUUCUGGCAGAGGAGCGGGAGCAGGCCAGGCAGCAGCAACGAUGAUGAGGAAGUGGUGGAUCAGAAAGUUUAUAUCCUCAGUCUUCAGUCACUCAGCUGGUGAGUGGCAGAAGCAGGAUUUGAAGAAACCCAGGGCUGCAAUGCAGAGCCCUGCUCCUAGUCUCUGAGCUCAGGUGAGUGCUACCGUAGGAAGGAGUUAAUACACCCGAUCUCUGCCCGGGUCCAUCGGACUACAUUGAUGACAGCGGAAUAGGGUUUCUUAGGCACUAACCAAGAGGGAGGGGAGACAGGAGAGUUAGGACAGGGAGGUUUUUGAGAGCUUAGUUUUCAGAGGAAAAAAGGGUAUUUGGCCUAGGAAACCCUAAAGGGACAUUUGUGCAUCGAAGGAGGAACAUUGUGGACAGAGGGUAACUGUCAAGAACAUUUCUUGUGUAACUACCACCCUCUGUUUGCCAACUAUGCCACUGCUGCCCUCUCCCCAUGGUUUGCAACUGCAAGCCCUGCAGACCCCUUGCAGGGCUUGGAAGUGCCUCUUUCACCCACCCAUUCUCUCUACACUCUCUGCUCUCAGCCUGGUGGACAUCUCCUCAAACCCCUGCUGAUGGCACUUCUCAGCCCCUUCUGGCUGGGCACUCUGCCCUAAGUUUUCUCGUUUCCAUCCAUGCCAGUCUACCACCAACAGACAAAUUAUCUUGAAGUACCUCUCCGCUGUUGCCCUUGGCUCAGAAACCCACACUGGCUCUUGUUCUGUCUCUCCCUCCAAAUGAGCUUCCUCUUCUUGAGUUUCACUGCCCACCCUGCCCCUCCACUCUUACCCUUUGCCUAGUCCAUCUCUGUCCCAAGCAUGUCAUUGUCUCUCUGUGUCUGGAAUGCCCAGCUCCACCCCAUCCUUCAAGGGCUCACUCCCCUCUGCGUAUGACAGUUCUCAGGAAUUAACCCUCUGCAGACAGCUCCACCACUCACUAUUUGUAACUCCCAAUGUAACUCUUUUCUGUAAUUGUAUGGCAUAUAUCUCUUUCCCAAGUCUAUAGUGAUCUUCUUAAGAACAGGCACAAUUCAUUCAGAAAAUACUUUCCACAAGGCCACUGUGUGCCAGGCACUAGGCUGAGCUCAAUGUGGCAGCAGGCAGCGUGGCCUUGCCCUCUGGUCGCUACCUCCUUUUACAUCUCAUAGUUCUCACUGUGGCAGUAGAGGCCUGUGCCUGCAGUGUCUUUUUUCCUCUGAUGGAGUGUAGCCAAGGAGAGCCAGAGACUCGAGCCUGGGACUUCUGUGUUUCUUGGAGCGAAUAUGUUCUUUUAGGCCUGGGCCCAUCUUGGCUCCGGACAGGCUUGGCUUCCAGUGGGGGAAGAAGGCUAAAAAUUGAAGUGGGAGGCACAGCCAGCUCUCUUGGAGAAUGUGACCCAGUGUCACCCCAUGUUGGAGAACAGGAUAACAACAGCUGUAGCAUUCAGAGUAGAAAAAAUAAUACCCAAUGUCCCACCAAUCUCUAGAAGUGAUUCUUUUUCAAAUCUUUGUCCAUUCCCAAGUUUUUGCUUUGGACUAUUUGAACAUAAGAGGCUCCAGAUAAUGGGAUCCUUGUUGAAUAAUUUAGUCAUCAUAAUAGUGGUGAUGAUGGUUGACUCAGGAACAGGUAGAGAAGAGUACAGCUUCCCUGUUCUCUUUGUACUUCCUCCUUAUUCCCCCCACCUGUGAACACACCCCUCUCCAUGGUUUGUGGUUUGCCUGCCCCCUCUUGAAGCAGGUUGCUUUUCUAGCUCAUAGGCAAAUAUUGACCUACUUAGGUUUCAGAUGCUGCCCCUUGAAACUCCUGCUGGGCUAGAUAAACACACUGGGAUAACAGCUCUUGAGAAUAAGAGUUGCUUUUGGAUAGCCUGUAAUGCAACUGACCCACUCAUUGAAUCCUUGCAAUGGUCAGCACUGUGCUGGCUUCCCGGGCCCCUGGGAUGGUGGCAGACAAAGGAAGGGCACUGGGCUCUACCCUCCCUCUGCGAACUUGUGGCUCAGUUGGGGAGAUAGGACUCAUGUACUGGGGAAUGCUUGGAGGUUGUGUGCAAGGCAGCUGCAAAGAUCCUGAAUGAAAAUUCUUCUCUGAGUCCUCUGUAACCACCAGAUCUCUUCUCUUUCUGUGGUUUUAAGUGGAAUUCAGUCAAGUGCCAAAGUAUCUACUGCAGACAAUGGGCAAUAUGGUUUGGCAGGAAAGGGCAGUGCUCUGUGGGGAGGAGAUGAGAAGAGGGGUGGGCUGUGGGGGACUAGGCUGGGAGGAGGGAGUUCUUGCUGUGGUUCAUUAAUCCUUGAAUUCAUUUCCCUGAUUUGUCCUUGGAACUGCUCCUGGACUUCCAACUUUCCCCAGGUCCUCCUGCCCCGGGUCUCUCUCAGAUGCAUGGGUCCAAACCUGUUCUUUUUUUUCUUAUGACUCAUGCCUUUUUUCUCCCUUGUGUCCUCUUAGCCUCCAUCAGCUUGGACCCUGCACCUCUCUUCCCAGUCCUUUGAAAUGAGCUGGGUUCCUCUGUUGGGUGAGGCUGCUGCCCUGGCUGGGAGCCCAAAGACUCAUCUUUGUGAGCUUGGACCCCAGUGAAGAUCCUGGCUAGCUGGGAGGCUGGAGUUCAGAAGCAGGGAAGGCUGAGGUUCCGGGCAGGCAGGGAAUCAACUUUGAGCAUUAAUGCAGGACCGCUCAGGCCAGGAGGCUGAACUGGCCUGACCAGUCAGAGGCCCAAGGAAGGAGAUCUGAUCUUCUCAGUUCAUGUCUUUGUGUGUGUCUGUGGGUUAGGCAGAGGCUAUGACAUGUGGUGGUCCAAAAUUACUUUUCUAGCUCUGUGGGGGUGGAUCUCCUCCCUGUUUGGACUCUAGACAAGUAGUUUGGUUCCCUAUUCUUUGCUGUAGGAAGCCAUAGGGCAGGUAGACAUUGGUUAAAGGCCAUCCUGGAGCAGGUGAGCAAAGUAUCUGCUUUGUGGGAGGAUGGGGUCCUGGGAAGUUCCCAUCCUGGGGCACCUUAGAGGAAGCCGACCUGCCUUGAUGGGAUGGGGCCUGUGAGACCAAAGGUGAGCCAUACACACCCGGGGGCUGGCCCUUUACUCCACACAUAUCAUAUCCUUACAUGAAAGAUGCUGUUUCCCCUACCCAUACACUACACUACACUAUACUAUACCACACACACACACACACACACACACACACACACACACUCACACACUAUGGGGACAAGGAGACCUCUAUGUCUCAGGCCUGGAUGAAAGCCAGGUGUGGGGCUCAUUCAGCCUUGACCUUGGGC